ensembl:snoRNA
GAGGAAUGAUGAUGCUGAGAAAAGGUUUCGCACAACAAGCUGAUGUCAUGUGAUGUCACAUCUUCUCUUGGCUGUCUGACCAA